rnacentral:rRNA from 1 species
CAUGCAGUCGAGGGGUAGAGGAGAGCUUGCUUUCCUUGAGACCGGCGCACGGGUGCGUAACGCGUAUGCAACCUACCUUAAUCUGGGGGAUAGCCUCUCGAAAGAGAGAUUAACACCGCAUAAAAUCAAAGAACGGCAUCGUUUAAUGAUCAAAUAUUUAUAGGAUUAAGAUGGGCAUGCGUGACAUUAGCUAGUUGGUGAGGUAACGGCUCACCAAGGCGACGAUGUCUAGGGGAUCUGAGAGGAUGACCCCCCACACUGGUACUGAGACACGGACCAGACUCCUACGGGAGGCAGCAGUAAGGAAUAUUGGUCAAUGGAGGCAACUCUGAACCAGCCAUGCCGCGUGCAGGAAGACGGCCCUACGGGUUGUAAACUGCUUUUAUUCGGGAAUAAACCUCUUUACGUGUAAAGAGUUGAAUGUACCGAAAGAAUAAGGAUCGGCUAACUCCGUGCCAGCAGCCGCGGUAAUACGGAGGAUCCAAGCGUUAUCCGGAUUUAUUGGGUUUAAAGGGUGCGUAGGCGGCUUAUUAAGUCAGGGGUGAAAGACGGUGGCUCAACCAUCGCAGUGCCUUUGAUACUGAUGAGCUUGAAUACACUAGAGGUAGGCGGAAUGUGACAAGUAGCGGUGAAAUGCAUAGAUAUGUCACAGAACACCAAUUGCGAAGGCAGCUUACUAUGGUGUCAUUGACGCUGAGGCACGAAAGCGUGGGGAUCAAACAGGAUUAGAUACCCUGGUAGUCCACGCCCUAAACGAUGAAUACUCGAUGUUAGCGAUAUACAGUUAGCGUCUAAGCGAAAGCGUUAAGUAUUCCACCUGG